AUGUGGAUGCUUGGUGGCAGCCUGCCGGGCUUACGAGUACCCCCUCCGUCCCAAAAUAAGUGUUGCCGAUUUGGGACGGAGGGAGUAUACUGGAAGGUUCUAAUUUUUCAUGUUCCUAUUUUCAAGUUGCCUGAAAAACAAUUUGGUGGAAAGUUGAUUUUCAUGGACAAGAAAAGGAGGCGAAGCAGACUUGGCUGGCCGGCCUCGCCAGACUUGGGGAUGAUGUUGUUCGCCGCGGCGACGAAGGCGUGUAGCGGGAUGAAGAUGGCAGGGCAGGGCAGCCGUUGGAAUGAUCCGACGGUUCAGCCAAAUCAACUGAAGCCGAGCUUCUCAGGCGACUUACAGAUAGGCAGUCAGUAUUUUAAUUUCUCCCUCAGUAUCAAAAUAUAA
rnacentral:rRNA from 1 species